rnacentral:rRNA from 1 species
UGGCGGACGGGUGAGUAAUGUCUGGGAAACUACCUGAUGGAGGGGGAUAACUACUGGAAACGGUAGCUAAUACCGCAUAACGUCGCAAGACCAAAGAGGGGGACCUUCGGGCCUCUUGCCAUCGGAUGUGCCCAGAUGGGAUUAGCUAGUAGGUGGGGUAACGGCUCACCUAGGCGACGAUCCCUAGCUGGUCUGAGAGGAUGACCAGCCACACUGGAACUGAGACACGGUCCAG